rnacentral:tRNA from 2 species
GGAGAGUUGUCAGAGCGGCCGAAUGAGCUGGUCUUGAAAACCAGUAUGUAGUAACCCUGCAUCGGGGGUUCGAAUCCCCCACUCUCCGCCG